CUUAACCCCUAUAUAAGCUUUCAGGUCCUUUAUCAUCUAAUUUUGCAUUUGAGGGAACUAAGGCUCUGAGAGGCUCCCUCAAGCCAGAAGGGUAGGGUUGUGAAUAUAUUUUGAAAGGUAUGUGUUGGCCUCAGAACACGUG